GAUUCGAAUCUGCUUAAAUUCGGGCUACUGUGGAGUUGGGGAGGAGUGGAGUCGCCAAGACCCUGCUUCCCCCGCUGGCGGUUGCAGCCGAAGGCUGUGGGAAAGGACAGUGAGGCUCGGAGAGGUGCAAUGAAUUUCCCUGUCACACAGCUGAAACCGGCAAACAGCCAUUGAUGAUUAAGUAUCUAGAGUCCUUUCUUCCUGAGGCCACUCUUACAUGGCCCUGACACGUGCCAGGCUCCGUCACGUCAUGUAUGCACUGACAGAUUAUCUCAUCAAGUCCACAAGGCUAACCUAUGAGG
rnacentral:lncRNA from 1 species